UCUGCCCUAGGGAAUUUUUUUCGUAGACUCCUUUAAAAAUUUUAAUUGUUUUGCUGAACUAUUACAAUUUUUCUUUAACUUGCGGAUCCUCAAAUUUAUUUCCCGCCAUCUUGAUGACUGUUCUUCCGUGUCCCUAAGGGGUUCAGGUGAAUCAGGUGAAAAAUACGCCAUUUGGGUUCAAAGACAAGAAUGUUCUAAAAAUGUUAUUAUGUUUGCAGAUAUAUCACAUUUUACCAUACCACCUGUUUUUAAACGGUGCAGUUAUUGUACAGGCCUUCUUUCUUAUGUCAGGGAUUCUUCUAAGCUAUAGCUUUCAAAGAACAGCAGAAAAGAAAACAAUCAAAUGGACUAUGUUAAUCAGCAAUAUUUGGAAGAGAUGGUUGAGAUUGACACCCUCCUUCGCUGUCAUUCUUGCAUUUACUUCGACGUUAUUACGUUUCAUUUCAUCGGGGCCUUUAGUGCAGUUGCUUGAAGUAACAGAAGUAGAGGAUUGUAGACGCUCUUGGAUGUGGAAUUUUUUCUAUUUACG